rnacentral:rRNA from 1 species
GGGCUAGCGUUGUUCGGAAUUACUGGGCGUAAAGCGCACGUAGGCGGACAUUUAAGUCAGGGGUGAAAUCCCAGAGCUCAACUCUGGAACUGCCUUUGAUACUGGGUGUCUUGAGUAUGGAAGAGGUGAGUGGAAUUCCGAGUGUAGAGGUGAAAUUCGUAGAUAUUCGGAAGAACACCAGUGGCGAAGGCGGCGCACUGGACUGGUAUUGACGCUGAGGUGCGAAAGCGUGGGGAGCAAACAGG